rnacentral:rRNA from 1 species
GACGAACGCUGGCGGCGUGCUUAACACAUGCAAGUCGAACGGAAAGGCCCUGCUUUUGUGGGGUGCUCGAGUGGCGAACGGGUGAGUAACACGUGAGUAACCUGCCCUUGACUUUGGGAUAACUUCAGGAAACUGGGGCUAAUACCGGAUAGGAGCUCCUGCUGCAUGGUGGGGGUUGGAAAGUUUCGGCGGUUGGGGAUGGACUCGCGGCUUAUCAGCUUGUUGGUGGGGUAGUGGCUUACCAAGGCUUUGACGGGUAGGCGGCCUGAGAGGGUGACCGGGCACAAUGGGACUGAGAUACGGCCCAGACUCCUACGGGAGGCAGCAGUGGGGAAUAUUGCACAAUGGGCGGAAGCCUGAUGCAGCAACGCCGCGUGCGGGAUGACGGCCUUCGGGUUGUAAACCGCUUUCGCCUGUGACGAAGCGUGAGUGACGGUAAUGGGUAAAGAAGCACCGGCUAACUACGUG